AAAAGUAAUUUUUUUGAAAAAGAACUUAUGAAACAUAAACUUGUGGUGACCAUGUCUAUAAAAGUUAAUGGAACCCCAAUGGUAAUUGUUAUGGAAGUAAAAGGGAUUGUGAUUGUAGUGAUGGUGGAGCUGUAAUAUUGUAAAGGUAAAAGUGGGGUGGCACGGUGGUAUAAUGUUAUUGGUGAUUGUGAUGGUGCAAUGAUAGUAGUGGCAGUGGUGGUAGUGAUAGUAGUGAGGUUGUAAGAGUGUAUAUCGAUACUUAUGCAUAAGUAUUUAUAAAUUUAGUCAGUAUUAAAUAAAUUUUCUAUCACUUAAAAAUUUAUUAACUUUAUCAAAUUAGUUUAAUGAAUUUUUACUUAAAACAAUGGGUAAAUUACAGUCAGUACCCUUUGAGGUUUCUGAAAAUUACAUUGGCCUUCUCUUCUUUUUUUGAAAUUGCACUGACCUUUCGAUGACUAACGGCAUUAAUGGGAGCACUACUAGAAAAGUAAUUUUUUGCAACUAAUUUUGUUGCGACCAACUGAUUGACUGUCGCAAAAAAUAAUAUUUGCAAGAGAGACUAAUCUUUUCUUUUAUUUAUUUUUCCCUCUUCUUAUACCUAUGCCCUAAUUCCUUUCACGACUAUUUACAAACAGAGGUGUCUUCGUCUGUCUUGCUCUCUCUAACCUUGUUCAAUCGCCCCUGAUGAUAGGAGCGAUUUUGACCAUAGAUCUCUGACUACAUAUCACCAUUUCCCUAAAUUUUCUCUCUUUAACUCUGUUCAAUCACCCCAAUCUUCUCCAUCUCCACCAUGGUCAUUUAACUUGGAAAAUGCUUUGGGAUCUCACACAAAGGCCAAGCACAAGCACAGUGCUGGACAAUACAUGGAUUUGAAGAGAGAGCUUCUGAGUUCUGAUUGGAAACUCUAUGCUCAGUCUAUUAGGCUUGAAUAGUUAAUGCCUCAACUUUUAUCAGCAAGGUAAGCUUUACUUAGCAAGUUGAUGUAGCAUUUCUAAUAUAUGAUUGAUAGUUACUUAUGCUUUUGAGUUUUGACUUUGAGAAUUUUAAAAUUGUUAUGCUUAUGCUUUUGGGUUUUUGGAGCAAGACAGGUAACCACUGAUCAACAUAAUAAAUAAGUCUAUUGUGGUACCCUCCUAACCAAAUACUCUCAUGCAUUGUGAGUAAUUUUUUCUUAUUUUGCAUAAUUGUUGUGGCCUGUGCAAUAUUCAUGUAAUAGAUUUCUUGUUAUCUUAGUUCUUAUUUUUAUAUUUGGGGACUCUCUUGAUCCAAAAGGAGGUGAGUUUGCUUUAGGGUGUUGACAAGGACAUGAAAAAGCUUUCAAUCCCUCUUCCUACAAGUGAUGAGACUGAUAAUUGCACCAUCAUCUGGUGUGAUGUUCUUACACAAUAUCAAGUCAAUAUUCACAAGGACCCAUGAUUAAAAAUAUAUAUAUAUACAUGAAUAAAAAAAGAAAGAGUGGCAUAGUUUCUCUCUCUCUCUCUCUCUCUCUAUGUCAUUUUUCAUGCACAGAUGGUGUGGCUGGUAAUCACAUGAUAAUACGUGCUUCUUGUGAUCUUGUAGAUUGAUGGUGUGGCGAAGUUUCGAAUGUUGCAUAUUAUUAUGAAAUUUUCAACUAGUUUGUUAGUAUUAGGAACUUUUGGUGGUUUGGUCCUGUGCUUUUGUGGACUCAAGUUGACAUCAAACUUUUUUGAGAUGUGAUUGAGACCCCCUCAAUCACCAACCCCCACCACCCCACACACACGUGGGGGUUGGUGAUUGGAGGAGAAAAAAAAAAAAAAAAAUCUGGCCAAUCAAUCCAAGAGGGGGUUGUGGGGGUGGGGGGGAAAAGGGAGUCCGGAUCAUUUUUGAACUUUUUUUAGCUGGAAAUGUUAUGAAAAGGAUUUCUAUGCACAACGCCAUUCUUGUGGACUAUUUGAUGAAUGAUCAUUUUAUCAAGUAUUAUCAAUUUUUUUUAUUUCCAUGCUUGAAUUGACUUUAAAUACAUACUAUUUACUAAUCAUUAGUUGUCUGUUUUAUAUUUGAUGAAUCUCUUAGUGCUGACUUGUGCUUGAGAGCCAAUGGACCUCUACUGAUCACCCACACUCAGUGAACCUGUCAAGUUAUUUUCAAUGUGUCAUUUAUAUUGGCUGUACAGUGCUAGCUGAGAAAGUUUGAUAUUGUGUUGGUUUUUGUCUUACUAGUGUUCAAUAAUCAAAUUCAUGCCUCUUUUUGCUCGAACUUGUAGUUUCAAUAUUAGAGGUUGAUGAUUUGUUUCCGAUGUUCUCCUGACAGAGGGAGCAAUGGUGGCAACAAGACUGACAGGAAUUCUUUCAGGACAACCUAUAUUCUUCAAGACUCUGUAACAAGACUGUACAGAAGUGGCCUUUUUCUUGUUUCCAUAUACUAGUUUUUAAUGUGAAUUUGGGUGGUAAUUGCAAGGAUUCUUGGAAUCAGAACUACUUUAACCUCAAAUGUUUUUUUUGUAAUUGCAAUAGGUGGAAAAUCUUUGCAAGAUUCUUUUAGGAACUUUGUUAUUGUAACGGGAAUUUUAUUAAAGGAAGAGAUGGAAAAUAAUGCAUGAAUGUUAAAAUUUUUGUAAAUAUCUCUUUA